rnacentral:piRNA from 1 species
UAGUAGGAUGUUUUGGAUUCAGGUCUC